UUACAAGGGCAAUACACAUAAAAGUCAGAUGUGUCAAUUUUAUUUUUAGAAACGGUUGUAGUCACAAAGUAAUUGACAGAAUAAAAUGUAAAUUUCAGCAUAUUUUUUCCCACAAAAAUGUGUUAGUGCGUAGAAAUGUGAUCAGGCUGAGCACAUGGUCUUAUGGAUUUCAUAAUUUUCGGCGCUUAACGUGAAAACAGUUAAAGCACAGGAUUCACAAACAUUAAAUUUAUGCUUAAAUCUAUAUGCGAUACAUUAUGCAUAUAAUUAUAAUUCACGAUAAUACCACAUAUGGAAGUAACUGGAAUAAAUUUGGACUAUUUCCUUCGGAAGUUUACAUGACUAUCCUGUCAAAAGGCCUCCCUCGUGUUUACAUAUUUUGACAGGUCGAGUUGUUCUGGGACUAGGAACAAUGAUGAAUGAAUACCUGCACCAUGGAAACAAUGUCAUUUGCAAACUUUUUGAACCUGUGCUGGGCGUUCACAUUGACAUUUCUUGUUCAACAGGAAUACAUGAUGUCGACCAACAGUACAGCUAGAUGAAGAUAUAAAUUUAUUCAAAAAAAUAAUGGGACAAUGAAUGCUAAAAUUGCCAAGAAGAAGACUGCCAAUUUACACACCAUUUUAUACAGUUACAGUAUGAUAUGGUGAACAAAAAGCCCUCAAUGCAGCCAGUUCUGGAGCUUUGGUUAGACUAUGAACAGUAGACAUCAAAAGAUGAUCAUCUGAAGGGCCACAAUUGUUUAAAGCACUGGUCAACAAAAACUGAACUAUUUGAUGGAUCAUACAUGUGCAGAAUGUAGUACCAUAUUUCCAGAAUCAGAGAAAUAGAAAUAUCAAGUAUUAGAGAGAAAGAAAUGUAUGCAUCAUGUAUGAAGAACUGCCUAAGAAUAAUUUGCAAAAUACAUUGAAAUCUAACAAUUGCUAAUUGCAUAAUGCAUAUGGAAGUUAAGAAAGGUGUACUCUUCUGGAAAAUAUGUGUCCAAUGCAACAUUUCUUUUUCAAUUUUGUGAGCAUAAUUCUACAUAAAAAUUGUAACAUGGCUACAGGGAUAAUACAAAAGGUUUAAUCUUAUUUCCAAACACAUUGGGGGAAUCAGAGAAGAAAUAUCAAGAAUUAGGGGAAAAGAAAUAAUUGUCAUGAAUGAAAAACUUGCUUUUUAUUAAUUUACAAAAUACUUUUUAGCCUCACAACUGUUAAUAAUAUUAUGAAUAUGGAAGUUAAAAGUGUGGACUUUGAUUAAUCUUCAAGUUCUACAUAAAAAUUGUAACUUUAUAAAAUAGUCUUGUAGAAAAAGUGUAAGACUUUCAUACUUGUUUUAUAGAAAAUGUUUCUGGAUGUUUCAAUGUAAGUUUGCUAGACCCAGACCACUAGCUCCUAAGUCAAGGUUAGACUUAGAUGUCAAAGGUUAAAAGGGUCUGUUUCUGUCUGGUCAAUAACUGCCAUACAUAAAGGGAUUUUGGAAUUACUCGGCAUAAAUGUUCACCAUAAAGAGACAACGUGUUAUGCGCAAAACCCAAACCCUUGCUCCAAGGUCAAGGUCACACGUAGAGGUCAAAGGUUAAUAGAGUCUUUUUGGUGUCUGGUCAAUAACUCUGCGAUCCAUGAAGGGACUUUUAGAUAACUUGGCAUAAAUGUUCACCAUAAUGAAACAAGGUGUCAUGCCCAAGACCAAGACCCCUAGCUCGAAGGUCACACGUAGAGGCCAAAGGUCAGAUACAAAAAUGACGUUGUCCCUAGCAUUUCUUGUUCAUGCAUGGAGGAAUUUUGAUGUACAAUGGCAAAAAUGUUCAUCAUCAUGAGAUGGUGUGUCAUGAGUAAGAACCAGGCCCCUAAUCCUUUGCUGUUACUAUAAAUAGCUAUUACUGUAAAGUUCUAUUCUAUUAACCCUUAUGCUGAACAUGAUUUAUUCUGUCUUUGCGACCAGUGUAGAUCACGAUCAGCCUGCACAUCCAUGCAGGCUGAUGAUGAUCAGACUGUUCGCCAUUCAAUCAGUAUAUUUUUGGUAAGCAUCCCUUUUAACAGUUAAUGGUACUGUCCAAAUUGAAAAAUGGACAAGUUCAUUAUAGAAAUUCAGCAGGGUAAGGGUUAAUAUUAGCCCUAGGAGAAAAUUGGGACUACUUUUCUGUAGUACAACACGCAUGUUACAUCCAGUUUUUGAUGUAUUUUGACCUAAGGCUACCUGAUAAGUACUUUUGUGUGGACUUAGAUUUUUUUUCAGAUUAACUUCUCUUUGUUGUCACUAUAACAAACGAUUAUUCUUGAAACUUUUUAUCCUGGUUGUUAGAAUUGGAUAUGUCACUGUUUUGGCUUUCUGUCUAUCAAACUUAUAGUUUUGUACAGAAAAUACUUUAUUACAUCAUCUACCUGACGAGCAUAUAUUUAACAUCCUGGCACUCUUGUUUUAUUUUGUUCAUGCCAAGAUGCUGUAUUGGCAUACAGUAUGUAUGAUGAAAAUGUCCUUAGGCAGGGGACGUUGCUAACUCUGUUACAAAUUCUUGUUGUUGUUUUUUCUGGAGUUGUUGCCCUAUUUGAUCUUGAACUAAUUCAUCACAUCGUGAACUCGUGAACUUAAGUCGAACAGAUCCAUCCAACUGAAUUGAAACUAGGUAUACAUCAGAAGCAUGAAAUGAAUAUGUACAUGUUGCUCUGACUUUUAUGAUCGAUUAUUUUGUCUGGAGUUGUGGCCCUUCUUUAACGACGAAUGACAACUACAUUGUAGUUUCCUUCUCUUCAUUUCAAAUAAAACUUGUUAAGCAUCAUAAAUAUUAUGUAGACAUGCGCAUUUGUUUCUUGUUCAGUUGUUUAACUUCUAUAUAUUUUGCCUUAAUAACAUUAUUGACCCGUCGUUAUUAUAAAUUAUUGAAUGAAACAUUUUUUACCUCCGUGAAGGAAUAUUGUCAAACUAUACCGAUAAGGGGAAGAGUUUGCUUCCUUUUGUAGCACAACUGUCUAUGCAUUAUUGUGUCUUGCUCAUAUAUAACACUUUUAUUUGUGUGAACAUGCAUGAAUUUGUUAUACUGCAAAUUAAAACAGUCAUCAUUGA